rnacentral:rRNA from 1 species
UACGAAGGGGGCUAGCGUUGCUCGGAAUUACUGGGCGUAAAGGGCGCGUAGGCGGAUACUUAAGUUAGAGGUGAAAGCCCAGGGCUCAACCCUGGAAUAGCCUUUAAUACUGGGUAUCUUGAGUUCGGGAGAGGUGAGUGGAACUCCGAGUGUAGAGGUGAAAUUCGUAGAUAUUCGCAAGAACACCAGUGGCGAAGGCGGCUCACUGGCCCGAUACUGACGCUGAGGCACGAAAGCGUGGGGAGCAAACAGGG